rfam:Sphingobium sp. AP49 PMI04_contig379.379, whole genome shotgun sequence.
ACGGGCCGUGCGGGCGCCCGUUCAGGCGAUGAUCGUCCAAGUUCCGC